rnacentral:lncRNA from 1 species
AAUUGUGUUACAUAUUAUGCCUUCCAUCCAAAAUAGAACGAAAGUUCAAUAAAAUACGGUAGUUUUUCUUCCUGUAGAUUAUCCUAAUAGUUCAUUGUAAGGUUUCCGGUAACCAUCACCACACAUCUAAAGUUUAUAAAGUUCUAUAAGUCCAAUAUCAGGAUAUAAUAAGUUCAUUACAUUCAUCAAGUCCAAUAUCUGGAUAUAUUUACACAUAGUUCAUUCGAAUCAUAAGUUCAAUAUUUCGGUAUACAUAGUUCAUGUUUUAUUUCCGUCACCAUCAUAGUAUAAUGUUCAUCAACUGCUGGAAAGGGCG